AAAAUAUUAGUUACAUAUUUAAAUAUAGAAUUUUGUAAAUUAUCUUCCAAGAUGCAAGUUGAAGCAUUUAUAUUAUUUUUAAAGCUUUGCUAUAAUAUAUUUAUAUUUUGUAUUAUUUAACAUGUAUCUCUUUAAAACUAAGUUCUCUGUUUCAUGUUCUAAGUAUUUUCUCUCAUAUUCAGUAUGGCUUCUUUGGUUGAAAAUAUAGGAACACAUUUGGAUUAACUUAGUUAAAAGCCUAGUUACAAGGAAAAAUAGGAAAAAAUAGCCCGGAACAGAAAGACCUCAGGAUUGAACUGGAACUCGUGACUUGAGUGCUGGGCUCUUCUCUCUUCCUUUCAUCCUCCUGGUCUCACUUUUCUCUGUUCCUCUCAUAAAUCGCAUGUACUCUUUGUAAGGUGUUUUCAUUCCUCCAAAUCUCAUGAUAAAACAGAUCAAUUAACAUGACCAAGCCUCACACUUCUGUGUGUAAAACUAGCCACAGAGAAACUAUAAUCCUUUAACCCCAUUCCAGAAUCUCUAGAAGGAAUUUCACUUAGUCCAGUUUGGGUAAAAAUUUAAUCUUAAAGCAAUCAACUGUCACACAACCUGAGGACCUUUUAUUUAAGCAGCACUAAUCUCUCUUUAACCAUGGCCUUGGGUAGAAGUAAUGGAAAGAAUUAUUUUUAAAAUGAUUUGGGUGAUGGCAGGGAUAAAUGCGUGGAAUAGUUGGAGCUAACAAAAGUUUCAUUGUGAUAUUCCUUUUUAGGUAAAAUGAAAAUUAAGACAAAAUUUUAUUAAAACUAAAGCAGUGUUUUCAAAUUUUUACAAACACCGAUACAAAUUACUGUAUUUUUGAGAUGAGGCAGAAGAAGUGCAUGCCUAUUUCUAAUUGAUCAGGCGCAGACCACAAGAGACAACAUGGACAAUUAUGAAAUGGCAUCAACCCCUGGAGUUACAUUGGCAUUCUCUCUCUGUCUGCCAGCACAAAGCAAUGUAAGAAAUAAGAAGGCAAAACAGAACACCAGAAAAAGCCAAAAUAUUAUUACUGUAAAGGCUUCUCACCACAGCUCUCAGGAUGGAACACAAUUGGAUAUAAUAAUAAUAAUAACAUAAUGUUAUAAAUCCUUACAUUCUCUAAUAAGCUAAUUAACUUAGAAGUUAAUGUACAGUAUUUCCUUUCUUGCAAUUAUAACAACACAUCAGGAAUAGGUAGCUUUAACUAGAUUAGAAAAGAAAAAAGAGCGAGAGAAGAACUAAAUAAGGACAAAGAGAAAUGACAAUGAUGACACUACCACUGAUCUCACAGAAAUAAAAAAGAUCCUCGGAGACUAUUAUGAACACCUCUAUGCACACAAAUUAGAAAAUCUAGAGGAAAUGGAUAAAUUUCUGGAAACACACAACAUCUCAACAUUGAACCAGGAAGAAAGUAAAAAUUUGAAAGAAAAAUUUGAAAGAAAAAUUUGAAAGAAAAAAUUUGAAAAAACAAUAACAAGUUUUGAAAUUGAAUCAGUAAUAGAAAAACUGCCAACUAAAAAAGCCUUGGACUAGAUGGAUUCACAGCUGAAUUCUACCAGAUGUUCCAAGAAUAACUGGUAUCAAUCAUAUUGAAACGAUUAAAAAAAUUGAUAAACAGGAACUCCUCUCUAACUCAUUCUAAGAAGCUAGCAUCAGCCUGAUACCAAAAUCUGGUGGAGAUAAAACAAAAAAGGAAAUCUUCAGGCCAGUAUCCCUGGCGAACAUAGAGGCAAAAAUCCUCAAUGAAAUAUGAUCAAACUGAAGCCAGCAACACAUCAAAAAGCUAAUUCUUCAUGAUCAACUGGGCUUUAUUCCUGGGAUGUAAAGCUGGGUUGACAUUUGCAAAUCAAUAAAACUCAUUCGCCACAUAAACAGAAUUAAAAGCAAAACCAUAUGACAAUCUCCAUAGACACAGAAAAACUUUUCAUAAAAUCCAACAUUCCUUCAUGAUAAAAUCCUUAACAGACUAGGUAUCAAAUGGCCAUACCUCAAAACAAUAAGAGCCAUCUAUGACAAACCCACAGACAACAUCAUACUGAACAGGCAAACGAUGGGCUGUUCCCCCUGAGGCCUGGAACAACGCAAGGGUGCCCACUCUCACCACUCCUAUUCAACAUAGUACUGGAAAUCCUAGCCUGAGCAAUCAGGCAAGAUAAAUAAAUAAAAGGCAUCCAAACAGGAAGAACAGAAGUCAAAAUAUCUGUCUUCACUGGUGAUACGAUUCUAUAUCUAUAAAAUCCUAAAGACUCUGCCAAAAGGUUCCUGGAACUGACAAAUGAUUUCAAUAAUAUUUCAGGAUACAAAAUCAAUGCACAGAAAUUAGUAGCAUUUCUAUACACCAAUAACGUGCAAGCUGAGAGUCAAAUCAAGAAUACAGUCCCAUAUACAGCAGCCACAAAGAAAAUGAAAUACCUAGGAAUGCGGCUAACCAAGGAGGUGAAAGGGCUCUACAAGGAGAACUACAAUAGAAUCUACAGAUUAAAUGUUAUUUCUUAUCAAACUACUAAGAUCAUGUCUCACAGAAUUAUAAAAAAAGUAUUCUAAAACUCAUAUGGAACCAGAAAAGAGCCAGAGUAGCCAAAACAAUCCUAAGCAAAAAGAACAAAGCUGGAGGCAUCACACUACCCCACUUCAAAGUAUACUACAAGGCUAAAGUAAUCCAAGCAGCGUGGUGGUGGCAUAAAAACAAAUAUGUAGACCAAAGGGACAAAAUAGAGUACCCAGAAAUAAAGCUAUACACCUACAACCACCUGAUCCAAGCAAUGAAGAAAGAAAUUCCUAUUUAAUAAAUGAUGCUGAGAUAAUUGGCUAACCAUAGGCAGAAGAAAGAAACUGGAUACUCACCUUUUACCAUACACAAUAAUUAACUCAAGAUGGGUUAAAGAUUUCAACGUAAGAUCUCUAACUAUAUAAAUCCUAGAAGAAAAUCUGGAAAAUACUCUUCUUGACAUUGGCCUUGGCAAAGAACUACUGGCAAAUUCCUUCAAAGCAAUUGAAAUAAAAACAAAAAUUAACAAGUGGUACCUAAUUAAAGAACUUCUACACAGCAAAAGACAUCUAUCAACAAAGUAAACAGAUAACCUAAACUAUGGGAGAAAAUACUCGCAAAUUAUGCAUCUGAUAAAGGUCUGAGACACAGAAUCCGUAGGGAAUUUAAAUCAACAAGAAAAAAAAAACUCCAUCAAAAAAUGGACAAAGGAUAUGAACAAGCACAUCUCAAGAGAAGACAUACCAGUGGCCAAAAACAUGAAAAAAUGCUCAUCAUCACUAAUCAUCAGAGAAAUGCAAAUCUAAACCACAAUGAGAUACCAUUCAUGCCAGUCAGGAUGACUAUUAUUAAAAAGUCAAAAAGUAACACAUGCUGACAAAGCUGUGGAGAAAAGGGAACACUUAUUCACUCUUGGUGGGAAUGUAAAUUAGUUCAACCACUGUGGAAAGCAUUUUGGAGAUUUCUUAAAGAACCUAAAACAGAGCUUCCAUUUGACCCAGGAAGUCCAUUACUGUGUCUAUACCCAAAGGAAAACAGAUCAUUCUAACGAAAAGACACAUGCACUGACUUGUAUGUUCAUCACAGCGCUAUUCACAAUCAUAGGAAAGACAUGGAAUCAACCUAGGUGCCUGUCAAUGGUGGAAUGGAUAAAGAAAAAGUGGUACAUAUAUGCCAUGAAAUAUUAUGCAGCCAUAAGAAAGAAUGAAAUCAUGUCCUUUGCAGUAACACAGAUAAAGCUGGAGGCCAUUACUGUAAGCAAAUUAAUGCAGAAACAGAAAAUAAGAUACCACAUCUUCUCUCUUAUAAAGGACAGUUAAACACCAAAUACACGUAGGCAUGAAGAUAAGAAUGAUAGACACUGGGGACUACUAGAAGGGGCGAGAAGGGGGAUGUGGGCUGAAAAACUAUCUAUACGUUACUAUUCUCACUACCUGGAUAAUGAGAUCACCUGUACCCUAAACCUCAGCAUCAUACAAUAUACCAAUGAACAAACAUGUACUUGUACCCCAAAUAUCUGAAAAUUGAAUUUUACAAAGUAAAGAAAUUCUUGUAUAACAAGAAAGAAAUAGGAAUCAUAUACAUAUGUAUGUAUAUAUAGAUUUCACUUUACAAUCAUUAUGUUAUACUUCCACUUAACUAUAAACACAAGCAACUGUUUUGUAUUUUGCAGUGUUUUGUCAUUUACAAUCCCAAUGCAUUUAUGAUGAAUUUAGAUAUAUAUGA
rnacentral:lncRNA from 1 species